rnacentral:lncRNA from 1 species
CCACAAACUGCCUUCACAUUGGGGCUUUACACUCUCUUUUUGGCCUUUCUUCAAGUGUUGACAGUGUUCACUAACUGAUGACUACAAUGUCUAAGAAAACAAGCUUGAUGGAAUAGUUUCAGCUGCAUUUAAAGUAUAUUUAUGACAGGAAGACAGUGUUCAAAAUGUUUUGCUUAUUGAAAAAAAGCAACAUGCAGAAAUACAGCACAUAAAUGCCUCCAUGGACUAAGAAGACUGAGUGGAACUUGAAAGAGUAACCACGGGACACUGAAUUCCAAAUUGUGUUCCUCUGGAGGUUGUGAUAAGAUGCUGUCUUCACUGCAUUAGGCAGGAAGUACUGGGACAAUUUGUGUGGAUUGGGCCCAAGGUCUUAUGUAUGCUAAGCAACUGCUUUACCACCAAACAGCACCAACAGUAAGAAGUAUUUAAGUUUAGAUGUGUACAAAUUCAACUACUCUAUUUUAAUUUUAUACUUAUAUUCUUUUCAAGCUAAUUUGUUGAUGUAAUUUACAUCCUGAUAGCAGUUUCUCCUCUCCCUUCUCUUCCCAGUCCCU